CCUACGGGCGGCAGCAGUGAGGAAUAUUGGUCAAUGGGCGCGAGCCUGAACCAGCCAAGUAGCGUGAAGGAUGACUGCCCUACGGGUUGUAAACUUCUUUUAUAAAGGAAUAAAGUGAGGCACGUGUGCCUUUUUGUAUGUACUUUAUGAAUUAGGAUCGGCUAACUCCUGGCCAGCAGCCGCGGUAAUAUGGAGGCUCCGAGCGUUAUCCGGAUUUAUUGGGUUGAAAGGGAGCGUAGAUGGGUUGUUAAGUCAGUUGUGAAAGUUUGAGGCUCAACCGUAAAAUUGCAAUUGAUAAUGGCAGCCUUGAGUACAGGUGAGGUAGGAGGAAUUCGUGGUGUAGCGGGGAAAUGCUUAGAUAUCACGAAGAACGCCGAUUGCGAAGGCAGCCUACUAAACUGCCACUGACAUUGAUGCUCGAAAGUGUGGGUAUCAAACAGGAUUAGAUACCCCAGUAGUC
rnacentral:rRNA from 1 species